AUCUUAAUGAGAGUUUGAUCCUGGCUCAGGACGAACGCUGGCGGCGUGCCUAAUACAUGCAAGUAGAACGCUGAGGACUGGUGCUUGCACCGGUCCAAGGAGUUGCGAACGGGUGAGUAACGCG
rnacentral:rRNA from 1 species